UGGGGAAUAUUGCACAAUGGGGAAAGACCCUGAUGCAGCGACGCCGCGUGAGUGAAGAAGUAAUUCGUUAUGUAAAGCUCUAUCAGCAGGGAAGAAAAUGACGGUACCUGAGUAAGAAGCCCCGGCUAACUACGUGCCAGCAGCCGCGGUAAAACGUAGGUGGCAAGCGUUGUCCGGAAUUACUGGGUGUAAAGGGAGCGCAGGCGGACUAGCAAGUUGGAAGUGAAAUCUAUGGGCUCAACCCAUAAAUUGCUUUCAAAACUGCCGGUCUUGAGUAGUGCAGAGGUAGGCGGAAUUCCCGGUGUAGCGGUGGAAUGCGUAGAUAUCGGGAGGAACACCAGUGGCGAAGGCGGCCUACUGGGCACCAACUGACGCUGAGGCUCGAAAGUAUGGGUAGCAAACAGGAUUAGAUACC
rnacentral:rRNA from 1 species